GUGUGUGUGUGUGUGUGUGUUAAGUUACAAUAAACCCAGCCUGAGCUAAACAUAUCUGAGCUCUCAUAUGUUUAUUCAUCUAGUUCUUGCUUCAGCAGACUUACUGCUCUAAUUUCUCCCAAUCCAUUCUAUGUAAUAAAUAUCCUUUCAUGAGGAAAGUUGCACUUCUUUAUGAUACUCUAUUAUCUUACCACUCUUUUCUAAGAUGUCUGGAUUUAUUUUGUCCUUACGCUACCAGAUACAUCAAACUCUUUUCAUUUGUUUUCUGACUUUAUAAUAUUCUAUUGAAGUAGUCUUACUCUUAAGUGAAAUUUUUUUUUUCAGUCAUCAAGGAGUGAUAUUAGGAGUCCAAAUAACAUAUUUGGAAGAUUUUCUUUUCUUUUAUGGCACAGGCAAUUAAGAUAAUCAUAGAGUAGUGAGGAAAAUAGGAAAAACAAAUACAAAACAGGAUACAUUCAUAAUGACUUGAAGAAAUAGUCCUAAACAAUCAUAAGUCAGCAAUCUUAUAACAUCAAAAUGUCCUUCUGUGAGGUUGUCAGUCAACUGAAACCUUAUCAACCCAAUCUUUCAUGGGAAACAGGUGUCAGAUAAAGAUACAAUGGAUAUAUCAAGCAAGGUAGUGCACUUUGGGGCAAUAGUUGAGUAACACUGCAUAAUCACCUUUUGCCUAACAUAACUCAGUGAAAACCUAGAUUAUCAUGUCUUGCAAGGGCACUGUAAGUACAUCUGGGUAUUUAAGAUUGGAGGACAAAAACACAGUCUCAGUGCAUGUGUGUAGUUAAAUGAUUACAAAUCUUGACUGCACCAAAGAUAGUGUAUCAGUAAGAUUGCACCAUGCCUCAGUAUGUGUACAUGGGAAAUGGUGAUCCAAGAACAACUGACACUUGUGUACUACCAAAUACUGCAAAACUUAAGUAAUUUCACUACCAUAAAAUGACAGAAUGCAGUAGCAGACAGAAAGUCUCUCUGAAGAAACACAUCCGCUGCCCCGACACUUCUCACCUUGCCCUGGAGUACACUUGUGGAGUCCAUAGCCUAUUACUUUUGCCAAGGGCCAGCCGACAGGGGUUGGAGAGUGCCAUGAUGCCUGGAACGUGAACAGCUGACGACUAGAAGGCCGGCCAGGGAGGUGCGCUAUAAAGGCGCUGCCGAUACGCAGAAGACAUUCUACGUCACCUGUAGCAUCAAGAUCAAGAUAAUGAACCCUGCAUGCAGACAUAGAAGCAAAUUAGGCGGGAGACUCAAACAAGAAUAUGAACAAUGUUUUUUUUUUUUUUUUUUUUACUCUUGGAAAUUAUUUUCGUCUGCUACCCCUCAGUGUAGCAGGACACAUCUGUGAACAUUGUACUUUUGAACUUCUCUAAACUUUGGUAAUAAAGUGUGCUGAAA